GCGGGAUCAGCUGGCGUCGCGAUGUGAUGACGUCAGGCCCCGGGCAGGCCUGGAGUGGCGCGCUGGGCGUGCGCGGCUGCUGUCCGGCGUGUUGGUCCCAGCGGUUCAGCUGAGGUAGGGACGUGCUGUAGGCCGGAAUGUUACCGGCUGUUGGAUCUGCGGAUGAGGAAGAGGAUUGUCCUGAAUUGGUUCCCAUUGAGACGACGCAAAGCGAGGAGGAGGAAAAGUCUGGCCUCGGCGCCAAGAUCCCAGUCACAAUCAUCACCGGGUAUUUAGGUGCUGGGAAGACAACACUUCUGAACUGUAUUUUGACAGAGCAACAUAGUAAAAGAGUAGCGGUCAUUUUAAAUGAAUUUGGGGAAGGAAGUGCGCUGGAGAAAUCCUUAGCUGUCAGCCAAGGUGGAGAGCUCUAUGAAGAGUGGCUGGAACUUAGAAACGGUUGCCUCUGCUGUUCAGUGAGGGACAAUGGCCUUAGAGCUAUUGAGAAUUUGAUGCAAAAGAAGGGGAAAUUUGAUUACAUACUGUUAGAGACCACUGGAUUAGCAGACCCUGGUGCAGUGGCUUCUAUGUUUUGGGUUGAUGCUGAAUUAGGGAGUGAUAUUUACCUUGAUGGUAUCAUAACUAUUGUGGAUUCAAAAUAUGGAUUAAAACAUUUAACAGAAGAGAAACCUGAUGGCCUUAUCAAUGAAGCUACUAGGCAAGUUGCUUUGGCAGAUAUCAUUCUCAUUAAUAAAACAGACUUGGUUCCAGAAGAAGAUGUAAAGAAAUUAAGAACGACAAUUAGAUCCAUAAAUGGACUAGGACAAAUCUUAGAAACACAAAGAUCAAGAGUUGAUCUCUCUAAUGUAUUAGAUCUUCAUGCCUUUGAUAGUCUCUCUGGAAUAAGAGACAGAGUCGGGCUGCGCUGGGAGGCGGCGAUGAGAGGCUCGCAUGCCUCCAGCCCGGCCCCGGCCCCCCGGGACGGAGAGCCGAGCAGCCCCGGCUCUGGGCUACGGACUAUGGGCAAAUAGCUCUGACCACCCGGCGAAGCAUGCCGCCUGCCUUGGCCUCCCAAAGUGCCGAGAUUGCAGCCUCUGCCCGGCCGCCACCCCAUCUGGGAAGUGAGGAGCGUCUCUGCCUGGCCGCCCAUCAUCUGGGACGUGAGGAGCCCCUCUGCCUGGCUACCCAGUCUGGAAAGUGAGGAGCAUCUCUGCCCAGCCGCCAUCCCAUCUAGGAAGUGAGGAGCGCCUCUUCCCGGCCACCAUCCCAUCUGGGAAGUGAGGAGCGUCUCUGCCCAGCCGCCCAUCGUCUGAGAUGUGGGGAGCGCCUCUGCCCCGCUGCCCCGUCUGGGAAGUGAGGAGCGCCUCUACCCGGCCGCGACCCCGUCUGGGAGUUUGCAGAAAAAACUUCAGCAUGUGCCAGGAACACAACCUCACCUUGAUCAGAGUAUUGUUACAAUCACAUUUGAAGUACCAGGAAAUGCAAAGGAAGAACAUCUUAAUAUGUUUAUUCAGAAUCUCCUGUGGGAAAAGAAUGUGAGAAACAAGGACAAUCACUGCAUGGAGGUCAUAAGGCUGAAGGGAUUGGUGUCAAUCAAAGACAAAUCACAACAAAUGAUUGUCCAGGGUGUCCAUGAGCUCUAUGAUCUGGAGGAGACUCCAGUGAGCUGGAAGGAUGACACUGAGAGAACAAAUCGAUUGGUCCUCCUUGGCAGAAAUUUAGAUAAGGAUAUCCUUAAACAGCUGUUUAUAGCUACUGUGACAGAAACAGAAAAGCAGUGGACAACACGUUCCAAAGAAGAUCAAGUUUGUACAUAACACUAGAGGCAUUUCUUAUCAAAAGGAUUGGAUAAUAAAAAUAAGUUUCUACUGGG